rnacentral:lncRNA from 1 species
AGUCUAUGCUGUGCCCAUGCAACCGUUCCCAUAGCUUCAAACAAGCAGUCCUAUACUUCCAGCUUUUGGAUCUGGACCUGCACUCCUACAGGUACACAGCAGGACACUGAGCUGCAGUCUUUCUAAGCAGAAAGAUGAUGGAAUAGGGCUUUUUCUCAUUCAGCUAUCAGAAUUUGUGGAUGGGGAGGACAGGUCAGACGUGACAGCCCCAGCUCUACCACCGCUCGGUGCUACCAACCUGCUGGUUGUUCUGUGCUGGGAAAUUUCAAAGGUCUGCUCAACAUGAGGCAUGUAAAUCGAGGUAUGUUUGAAGUCCCAGGAUUAAGAUGCUAACUAAACUAGUAUCCUGAGAUGCAAUCCCCAU